UACGGAGGGUGCAAGCGUUAUCCGGAUUCACUGGGUUUAAAGGGUGCGUAGGUGGGCAGGUAAGUCAGUGGUGAAAUCUCCGGGCUUAACUCGGAAACUGCCAUUGAUACUAUCUUCUUGAAUACCGUGGAGGUCAGCGGAAUAUGUCAUGUAGCGGUGAAAUGCUUAGAUAUGACAUAGAACACCAAUUGCGAAGGCAGCUGGCUACACGAAUAUUGACACUGAUGCACGAAAAGCGUGGGGGAUCAAACAGG
rnacentral:rRNA from 1 species